rnacentral:rRNA from 1 species
AUGUAAAUUCCUACAGCAUAGCGUUAAUGCACUAAAUCCCAUUAGAACUCCACAGUUAAGCGCACUCAGGAUAAAGUAGUACUAGGAUGGGUGACCACUCGGGAAGUCCAAGUGUUUUACAUG